rnacentral:ncRNA from 1 species
AUUGCAAAUUUCGUGAUAGGCAGAUAUUGGGAAUGAGGUGUGAGUCCUCAACUGUCCCCGCAACUGUAAGUGCUUGAGCCUUGUCUCUUGUAUAAGUCAGAUACCAAGGCCUAUCCAUAUACUUAAGC